UACAUGGGGUGCAAACGUUGUCCGGAAUCAUUGGGCGUAAAGGGCGCGUAGGCGGCGUGUCAAGUCAGGCGUGAAAGCCCCGGGCUCAACCUGGGAACCGCGCUUGAGACUGGCAUGCUCGAGUUCGGGAGAGGAUGGUGGAAUUCCCAGUGUAGAGGUGAAAUUCGUAGAUAUUGGGAAGAACACCGAUGGCGAAGGCAGCCAUCUGGACCGACACUGACGCUGAGGCGCGAAAGCGUGGGGAGCAAACAGG
rnacentral:rRNA from 1 species